GCCCUUGGCAGCCCCUUCUCUGUGACAUAUUCCAAGGAGACGUCACAGGCACCAGGCUGAACAAUGCAGGGCCUGCCUGGCCCUGAGAGGAGUCGGAAGCUAAGGUGAAGCUCUCCCAGCUUCAUACUCUGUUCUGGGGGUAUUUGGAGCACAACUGGCUCUAUAUGGGAAUUUCCUUUCUAAGUUUCAUUGCCCUCCCUCACACCAUCCCCCACUCAGCUUGUCAACAGCCGGUUUCCCCUGCCCACGAGGCUGUGCCGCCUGGCUGGGCCCACCCCGUUGCUCCUGAGUCUGCCCUGGUCACAGGCUGUUCCGCUGGGAUCCCAGCUGGUUUUUACAUCACACCUGUGAGGCAGUAUCCAAUCCAGCAGGCCACGUGCCCCACCUCAGGAGAUCCUCCCCUUGGUGAGCUGGAGGGACUCUCCAAAGAAGCCCAUGCUGUCCGCUGUCAUUCCAUAAUAUUCAGACACACAAGAACCAUAAAGAUCCCUCCUCCAGGGUGCAAAUUUACUCUCCUCCCUUCCACCUGAGCAGGCAGUCAAGGCUAUGAAACCGGUACCAUCCAGUCACCUCCCACUUCCUUGCCCAAAGGAGACUGUGGUGAAGGUACCAGAAGAGCCCAGAGAAGGGAUGGCAGGGAAGAAGGAGGAUCAUGUAGAGACCAAAGGACAGGACAUUGGGCACAGGGGCCCCCACAGCAGUGGGGAUGUACCGUCGACAUCAAACCCCAUAGACCAACAGAGCCCUCACUUCCAUCGAGAGCAGUCCUGGGCCUCCGGACCUCCAUCCCAAGCACCCAGAAGUCAGCUUGAGUGAGAACACCCACAUGUCUCUGAUGAGCUCCUCCUGGGAAAGCCACAUCGUCACCACCUCAUACAGCCCUGCUGGAGAUGCCCUGCCUCCAUGGAAGCCUGAUCCAGAUGCAGUGGUGCACUCUGAACCCACCCCAUGCUGCUCCCUGUUGCCAGAGAGGUCAUCACAGGAAGUGCUGGGUGCAGACCGUGGGCCCAGCUCUCCAGGCUCACUGAUGUCCGGGAAGGAGAUGCAGGAUGAAAGCCUGCAGACAUCCCAUCAUGGAGCUCUUGUCCACCGGGAUGUCCCAGCAGUAGGCCCUGCAAAUGGAGACUCACCAUGCCACUGUGCUGCCCCUGCCACUACCACUGUCACAGCCACUGCUGUGGGGCCAAGGAAUUGUUGCUCAGCCUGCAUUUGA
rnacentral:lncRNA from 1 species